rnacentral:rRNA from 1 species
CUAACAAGGAUUCCCCUAGUAACGGCGAGUGAAGCGGGAAGAGCUCAAAUUUGUAAUCUGGCGGUCUCAGGCCGUCCGAGUUGUAGUCUGGAGAAGCGUCUUCCGUGCCGGACCGUGUACAAGUCCCUUGGAACAGGGCCUCAUAGAGGGUGAGAAUCCCGUCUUUGACACGGACUGCCGGUGCUCUGUGAUGCGCUCUCGAAGAGUCGAGUUGUUUGGGAAUGCAGCUCAAAAUGGGUGGUAAAUUCCAUCUAAAGCUAAAUAUUGGCGAAAGACCGAUAGCGAACAAGUACCGUGAGGGAAAGAUGAAAAGCACUUUGGAAAGAGAGUUAAACAGUACGUGAAAUUGUUGAAAGGGAAACGCUUGAAGUCAGUCGCGUCUUCUGGGACUCAGUCGGACACUCGUGUCUGAUGUACUUCCCAGUGUGACGGGCCAGCAUCGAUUUCGAUCGUCGGAGAAAGGCUCUGGGAAUGUGGCACCUUCGGGUGUGUUAUAGCCCUGGGUCGUAUGCGACGGUCGGGAUCGAGGAUCGCAGCACGCCUUCAUUGGCCGGGGUUCGCCCACGCAACGUGCUUAGGAUGCUGGCGUAAUGGCUUUAAGCG